ensembl:snoRNA LOC120096826 small nucleolar RNA SNORA17
ACUACACCUCGAGGCCUUGUAGACGUGACUGCUGUCCCAUGUGUGUCAGUAGGUUGCAGAGAGGAAAAACACAGUCUAUAGUUCAGACCUAUGGGCAUCUGAAUGAUUACUUGCUUAACAUU